CCUACGGGCGGCAGCAGUGAGGAAUAUUGGUCAAUGGACGAGAGUCUGAACCAGCCAAGUAGCGUGAAGGAUGACUGCCCUAUGGGUUGUAAACUUCUUUUAUAUGGGAAUAAAACGUUCCACGUGUGGGAUUUUGUAUGUACCAUAUGAAUAAGGAUCGACUAACUCCGUGCCAGCAGCCGCGGUAAUACGGAGGAUCCGAGCGUUAUCCGGAUUUAUUGGGUUUAAAGGGAGCGUAGGUGGAUUGUUAAGUCAGUUGUGAAAGUUUGCGGCUCAACCGUAAAAUUGCAGUUGAAACUGGCAGUCUUGAGUACAGUAGAGGUGGGCGGAAUUCGUGGUGUAGCGGUGAAAUGCUUAGAUAUCACGAAGAACUCCGAUUGCGAAGGCAGUUCACUGGACUGCAACUGACACUGAGGCUCGAAAGUGUGGGUAUCAAACAGGAUUAGAUACCCGAGUAGUC
rnacentral:rRNA from 1 species